CGUUGGGAGAAGCAAAUUGUUAGAUUUCUGAACUUGCCGAAUCUCAUGGAAGCUGUUCAAUUACCUGGUGAUCUGUUGUCGCAGUUGCAAAUUCCUCAACAGAAACAGCAUGACAGCAACCAGAACAAUCCUGAGAAGUCAGUUUCAACAAUAACACCUAUAGAACGAUUAGUUAAAGCGGUAGAGAGAUCGUCAUUCAAAGUAUUAAGUGCGGCGGUCGAUGACAUUCUUUCAGUAGUCAGUUUGACUGAUACACUCGCAGGAGCACCCCCUGGCGAAGGAGGAGCUAGAUCUUUUUUUCAUGAAAACUUAGCGUCUACCACAAUGGGUCAUGCCGAACGUAGAAAUUUCGAAGUAAUAAACAAUGUGGUCGAAAAGAUUUGCCACUUGAUUAUAAUGAAAAUAGUGGUUGUAAGAAGGUAACUGGAUUUGAGUCAUCUGAAGAACCAAAAUCAGCUGCAACAUCUGGAAUUAAGAAAUCAAGACCUGAGGUGAAUGAUGUCCUUCUGGAAGAAGUUGGAGCGAUAAACCAUGUGCUGAUCAAUACAAAGCUGAGUAUUAGUGACAAGAGUAUCACUCUGGUGUCAAAUGCAGGUGAAGAUGUUGAAGGAAUGAUUGUCAACUGUACAUUCAGCCCAAUAUCUCGCAGUUCAAGUACUGAAAAGUUUCCUGCUCUACCGAUGUGGUUCUUAAUCCCUGCAAAUUAUCCCCUGUCUUCGCC